AAUAAUAAUAAUGAUGAUGAUAAUAAUAAUAAUAAUAAUAAUAAUAAUAAUAACUAAUCCCCCCCGCAGGUGCCACCUUGACGUGGUGGGGGGGCUUAGCUGCUCCAAUGAUGACUGAGGGCUGUGCUGGCGGUAGUGUAACUACCGGCAGGUCCAACCAAGCCAGAGAGGCCUCAGCUGAGGAGCACAACCAAGAGCACCUAACCCAUUAGCAUUAUGGAGAAUCAAACCCAAACGAAGUCUAUACUGGCUCGGUCGUCGCCCAGGAUAAAAAGGACCGCGGUGGAUGCUGCUGAUUCUGGACAUCCAUCGACAAGUGGGCUACGGAAUCAUCAAAACCCAAAUGGACAGUCACAGAAGCGGCAAAAAUAUACAAUGCCAGAAAACCGCACAAUUAUGAAAUGCUACUACAAAUCUGAACCUCAAAGGCGUGGCUACCAAAAAAGGAUGCAUCAACUGUGGAAACAAGAGUAUCCUGACUCACAGAUAACAGAACCCCGACUGGCUGACCAACGAAGAUUCAUAAUCAGAAACAAAGUGUUCAGUGAAGUUGAACUCGAAGAAAUCCAGAAAAUUUGCAAAGUAGAUUACCAUCAGACCACAGCACAGACAGCAGCAGAGACUCCAGCAACACUUGGAAUGGUGGAACAGAUUGAACCAGAAGAAAGUGUGGAGUUUUUGCAAGAAUUUGAGGAACCAGCACUUGAAACAUCUGUUGAACCACCAGGAACCUUGACAGCAAGACAACAAGAGCUCAAGGAUAAGAUCAUGGCUCAUGCUGCAGCAAAUGCAAUAAGACAGCGGCUCCCAACUCUAAAAACAGUGCCCAAGAGACACCUGGCGCCUCUCAUGAAAGAUGUGAAUGCAGCACUCUCCACUGUCCAAAUAACAUCAAUUGAACAAACAAACCAGUUUGCCUACAGUGCAGCAGUGAUAGUAACAGAAGAACUUGGGCUCCUACAACCAAGGCAGCCCCAAAGAAAAUCGACUGGAAAACCAAAGUGGAAGGUCAGGCUAGAGUUGAAAAUCAAGAAACUUAGAUCAGAUGCAAGUAACCUGAAAAAUAUGAAAGAGAGGAAACUGAAGAAUGACAAAAUCAAGCAAUACCUGAUCCGAAAGUACUGGCUGAACACCAGAAAAAUUGAAGAAGCUUUGGAAAUCGUGAAAGAACAAAUUACAGCAACAGCCAGAAAAAUUGAAAGGUAUGAAGCCAGAAUCAUCCAGUACAGACAAAAUCAACUGUUUCAAUCAGACCAAAGACGGUUCUACCAGAGUCUGAACCAAACAACAGACACAGUAACCAUAAAGCCAGAGAAAACUGCAACAACAAAGUUCUGGAUUAUCCAACGCAUUUUUGUAGUCAAUGCUUUCAAUACAUCAUGA
rnacentral:lncRNA from 1 species